rnacentral:tRNA from 1 species
UCUUUUUCAGUGUUAGGCACAGGAAUUUUUGAUUUUCCAAGAAGAUAAUUCUAUAAAGAA